AAAAAUGUGUAUUCUGUUUAUUGGGGGGGGGGAUGUAGUGUCCUGAAAAUAUCAAUUAAGUUUAACUGUCCUAUUGUAUCAUUUAGUAUCUCUGUUGCCUAUUGAUUCUCUGUGUAGAAGAUCUGUCCAUUGAUGUGAGUGGGGUGUUAAAGUCUCCUAGUAUUAUUGUAUUUCUGUCAAUUUCUCCCUUUACGU